CCUACGGGGGGCAGCAGUGAGGAAUAUUGGUCAAUGGACGAGAGGCUGAACCAGCCAAGUAGCGUGAGGGAUGACUGCCCUAUGGGUUGUAAACUUCUUUUAUAUGGGAAUAAAAUGUUCCACGUGUGGGGUUUUGUGUGUACCAUAUGAAUAAGGAUCGGCUAACUCCGUGCCAGCAGCCGCGGUAAUACGGAGGAUCCGAGCGUUAUCCGGAUUUAUUGGGUUUAAAGGGAGCGUAGGUGGAUUGUUAAGUCAGUGGUGAAAGUUUGCGGCUCAACCGUAAAAUUGCAGUUGAAACUGGCAGUCUUGAGUACAGUAGAGGUGUGCGGAAUGCGUGGUGUAGCGGUGAAAUGCUUAGAUAUCACGAAGAACUCCGAUUGCGAAGGCAGCUCACUGGACUGCAACUGACACUGAGGCUCGAAAGUGUGGGUAUCAAACAGGAUUAGAUACCCGAGUAGUC
rnacentral:rRNA from 1 species